GACGAACGCUGGCGGCGUGCCUAAUACAUGCAAGUCGAGCGAAGUUCUUCUGGUGCUUGCACCGGAAAAACUUAGCGGCGAAAGGGUGAGUAACACGUAAAAAACCUGCCUCAUAGACUGGGACAACUAUUGGAAACGAUAGCUAAUACCGGAUAAUAGCAUUAACUGCAUGGUUGAUGUUUAAAAGUUGGUUUUGCUAACACUAUGAGCUGGCUUUGCGGUGCAUUAGCUAGUUGGUGGGGUAAAGGCCUACCAAGGCGACGAUGCAUAGCCGACCUGAGAGGGUGAUCGGCCACACUGGGACUGAGACACGGCCCAGACUCCUACGGGAGGCAGCAGUAGGGAAUCUUCCGCAAUGGGCGAAAGCCUGACGGAGCAACGCCGCGUGAGUGAAGAAGGAUUUCGGUUCGUAAAGCUCUGUUGUUAGGGAAGAAUGAUUGUGUAGUAACUAUACACAGUAGAGACGGUACCUAACCAGAAAGCCACGGCUAACUACGUG
rnacentral:rRNA from 1 species